CGACGAUGACGAUUCGGACGUCGAGAUGCUGAGCAUCUCGAGCGGGGACGAGGAUUUUGCUAAGGAUUGCGCGGGUUCGAGGGCUAGAGGUGGCGCGAGUGGUGGUUCGAGGCCCGGGAGGGACGACGACAGAGCGUGGGAUGGCGAAGAACCUGAUUGCUGGAGGCGCGUGGACGAAGACGAGGUGAGUUCGAGAUGGUAAACCUGAGGAGAAAGGAAGAAGUUUCAGAGAACGACAAGAAUGAGGGAUGGAGGAGGGUCUUCCAUGUCCGCUUCGGUUCCAGGAAGAAGAGAGAUUGAUUGUUGAAGCUCGAUCGAGGGAGAAAGAGAAAUAGAAAGGAUCGUCUUUGGAGAGUAGCGAGAACAAGAAAGAUGGUGUUGGUUUUGGCAUUGGGGGAUCUGCACAUACCGCACAAGGCGCCUGAUCUGCCC